rnacentral:lncRNA from 1 species
AGAGAUAGGGGCAGGAAUACUCCCAACUAAGUGGUUUCUUGAUAAGUUCAAGUAGUUGAGUAUCCUCAUACCUGUGAUCUCAGUAGGAAUCUCACCCGAAAGCUGGUUCCUGCUGAGAUCAACAUAAGUUAGCAACUUGCACUUACUAAUCUCCGGUGCAAUGGGUCCAGAUAAAUCAUUGUGACUGAAAUCAAUUUUGGAAUCAACAUAAGUUAGCAAUUUGCACUUGCUAAUCUCCGGCACAAUGGGUCCAGAGAAAUCGUUGUGACUGAAAUCAAUUUUGGAUAGCUGCUGAAGCUUUCCUAUUUCAGCUGGAAUUCGCCCCGAAAAUUUGUUCCCAUC